rnacentral:misc_RNA from 1 species
GAUGAAGAACGUAGCGAAAUGCGAUACUUGGUGUGAAUUGCAGAAUCCCGUGAACCAUCGAGUCUUUGAACGCAAGUUGCGCCCGAAGCCAUUAGGCCGAGGGCACGCCUGCCUGGGCGUCACACGUCGUUGCCCCCCCAUCUACUCCUUCGGGAUUGCGAGGGGCGGAUGAUGGCCUCCCGUGCGCCUCGUCGCGCGGUUGGCAUAAAUGCCAAGUCCUCGGCGACGCACGCCACGACAAUCGGUGGUUGCGAAACCUCGGUUGCCCGUCGUGUGCGGUCGUCGCGCAUCGAGGGCUCGAAAAAAUUGCCGGGCUCCGGCUCGGCUUUCAACGCGACCCCAGGUCAGGCGGGGUUACCCGCUGAAUUUAAGCAUAUCAAAAGCGGAGGA